AUUGAACGCUGGCGGAAUGCUUUACACAUGCAAGUACGAACGGUAGAGGGGGCAACCCCUUGAGAGUGGCGAACGGGUGAGUAAUAUAUCGGAACGUGCCCAGUCGUGGGGGAUAACGUAGCGAAAGCUUUGCUAAUACCGCAUACGAUCUACGGAUGAAAGCAGGGGACCGCAAGGCCUUGCGCGGACGGAGCGGCCGAUGGCAGAUUAGGUAGUUGGUGGGGUAAAGGCUCACCAAGCCAACGAUCUGUAGCUGGUCUGAGAGGACGACCAGCCACACUGGAACUGAGACACGGUCCAGACUCCUACGGGAGGCAGCAGUGGGGAAUAUUGCACAAUGGACGAAAGUCUGAUGCAGCAACGCCGCGUGGAGGAUGACACAUUUCGGUGCGUAAACUCCUUUUUAUAUAGGAAGAUAAUGACGGUACUAUAUGAAUAAGCACCGGCUAACUCCGUG
rnacentral:rRNA from 1 species